UACGGAGGGAGCAAGCGUUGUUCGGAUUUACUGGGCGUAAAGGGCGCGUAGGCGGCCACCGCAGGUCGGUUGUGAAAUCUCUGGGCUUAACCCAGAAAGGUCAACCGAUACUGCGGGGCUAGAGUGCAGAAGGGGCAACUGGAAUUCUCGGUGUAGCGGUGAAAUGCGUAGAUAUCGAGAGGAACACCUGCGGCGAAGGCGGGUUGCUGGGCUGACACUGACGCUGAAGCGCGAAAGCUAGGGGAGCGAACGGG
rnacentral:rRNA from 1 species